AAAGUAUCCUAUGCCACUGCCAUGGACUGGUUCAUAGCUGUCUGCUUUGCUUUU
rfam:Alligator mississippiensis ScZkoYb_72, whole genome shotgun sequence.